UUUUGGAUUUUAGCCUAGUGGACAUGGCAUCUGCCCGGUAAGCGGAACACUGUGGGUUCGAUUCCCAUCCCUGAACA